rnacentral:lncRNA from 1 species
AACAUGAAAUUCAAAGGGAAACAGGAACAAUAAUCAUUACCAGCUGCCGUGUUAAGCAUUGUGAAAACGCUCACGAUUCACAGAAAAAUCCAUGCUGUUCUUUGAAGGCAUUCAAGCCUUAAUAGCUAGCUGGAUGAAUGUUUAACUUCUAGGCCAGGCACUACUCUGUCCCAACAAUAAGCCCUGUACAUUGGGAAAGGUGCCGAAGACAUGAACUUUGGUCUUCUCUGCAAUCCCUCUGGAGCAUUCAGUGACAACGUCGACUUUGAAGUUGCACUGACCUGGCCAGCCCUGCCACUUACCAGGCUGUGGCUUGCCUUUUCACUUCUUGUGUCCUGUUUAAGAAAUAUCUGCUAUCCCAAGAUAACACUAACAAAGUUGACCUUAGAAUUGGAGUGCCCGGGUUAGAACCUUGCUGGUACCACCUGCUUACUGCAUGCUUCUGAUGUGAGUUCAGGAGAAGCCACUGGCAAGGACAGCAAAGAACAGGAGAACACUCUAGCUUCCCUGAUAGCAUUCAAGGUGCUGUCCAAAGCUCUUGAGUUUCUGCUUUCAAGUGACCCUCAGAAAUGCCCCCAUUCACUGCAGAGGUUCUGUUUCUCCUUGUUUUGUUCCGACUUUAUGGCAGAACUAGGUUAAUGAGUUAAUUACUAUGAGUUAUCACUUGGAUUUGAAGAACCAUCAUUUCUAGGCUUUGCUGCUCAGAGUGGCCUUGCCAUCGUAUCCCCUUUUGGAGACACAAGCCAGGAAGGAAGCUCUUCAGUGCAGCUGUGAAUAGAGAAACGCUGGCUGAGGUUUUGGGGACACUGGGUGAUCAUUCCCAGUGAAAUUUUUAGAUCCCUGGGGACAUGAGCUGCUUUGUCUUUUCCAAGGUCAGGAUAAACAGAAUAGCUUCAGGCUCCUCUACCCAGAAAGAACAUGUGGCAUAAACAUCAACUGCAGAAUAAAUAUGAUUAAGCU